GCUGAGCUUUUGGGGUCCUCUCACCAUGGCUUGGCCUAUUAUUAGCCUGCUACUGCUCACCUUCUGCUCAGGCUCUCUAUCACAGCUGGAGCUGACUCAACCUCCCUCUGUCUCUGCAUCCCCGGGGAGCACAGCCAGACUUGCCUGCACCCUGAGUGGUAGGUACAGUGGUCAUGAUGUUUAUUGGCACCAGCAGAGCCCAGGAAAGGCUCCUCGGUAUAUCCUGUAUGUUGGCAGCAGUGGAGGUGUAGGAAAGGCCGAUGGGAUCUCUGAGCGCUUCUCAGGCUCUGCCUCUGGGGCCAAUAGAGUCCUGUCCAUCAGCAACGUCCAGCCUGAGGAUGAAGCCGAUUAUUACUGUCAGUCAUAUUACUACUCUAGUGGUAAUUAUCCUAAUACACAAUGA